rnacentral:rRNA from 1 species
UACGUAGGGUGCGAGCGUUAAUCGGAAUUACUGGGCGUAAAGCGUGCGCAGGCGGUGAGCUGUGUCCGAUGUGAAAGCCCCGGGCUUAACCUGGGAAUGGCAUUGGAAACUGGCUCGCUGGAGUGUGGCAGAGGGGGGUGGAAUUCCGCGUGUAGCAGUGAAAUGCGUAGAGAUCGGAAAGAACACCAACGGCGAAAGCACUCUGCUGGGCCGACACUGACACUGAGAGACGAAAGCUAGGGGAGCAAAUGGG